rnacentral:misc_RNA from 1 species
GAUGAAGAACGCAGCGAAAUGCGAUACGUAAUGUAAAUUGCAAAUUCAGUGAAUCAUCGAGUCUUUGAACGCACAUUGCGCCCCCUGGUAUUCCGGGGGGCAUGCCUGUCCGAGCGUCAUUGCUGCCCUCAAGCACGGCUUGUGUGUUGGGCCCCGUCCUCCGAUCCCGGGGGACGGGCCCGAAAGGCAGCGGCGGCACCGCGUCCGGUCCUCGAGCGUAUGGGGCUUUGUCACCCGCUCUGUAGGCCCGGCCGGCGCUUGCCGAUCAACCCAAAUUUUUAUCCAGGUUGACCUCGGAUCAGGUAGGGAUACCCGCUGAACUUAAGCAUAUCAAUAAGCGGAGGA